AGUGAACGCUGGCGGUAGGCCUAACACAUGCAAGUCGAACGGCAGCACAGUAAGAGCUUGCUCUUACGGGUGGCGAGUGGCGGACGGGUGAGGAAUACAUCGGAAUCUACUUUUUCGUGGGGGAUAACGUAGGGAAACUUACGCUAAUACCGCAUACGACCUACGGGUGAAAGUAGGGGAUCUUCGGACCUUGCGCGAUUGAAUGAGCCGAUGUCGGAUUAGCUAGUUGGCGGGGUAAAGGCCCACCAAGGCGACGAUCCGUAGCUGGUCUGAGAGGAUGAUCAGCCACACUGGAACUGAGACACGGUCCAGACUCCUACGGGAGGCAGCAGUGGGGAAUAUUGGACAAUGGGCGCAAGCCUGAUCCAGCCAUACCGCGUGGGUGAAGAGGGCCUUCGGGUUGUAAAGCCCUUUUGUUGGGAAAGAAAAGCAGCAGGUUAAUACCCCGCUGUUCUGACGGUACCCAAAGAAUAAGCACCGGCUAACUUCGU
rnacentral:rRNA from 1 species